rnacentral:lncRNA from 1 species
GAAAUUUCUCCAGUCACAUUUUCUUUGGGGGGGGGGGGUGGAAAGGGAAGGGCUUCGAGAACCUUGCAAUUAUAAACAAGUGCUUUUAUCUCAAAACUAGCUAUUUUUAAAAUUCUAAAAAUUUCCAACAGUCAUCAAUAUUUGUAGUAUCUUUUCAAUUAUCUGGAAAAGCCAAUAAAACUUUGGCUCUCUUUUCAAACAUACAGCUAAUCUAAUAUGAAAAAGCUGCAUGAUUAUAAAAAGAAUGCUUACCUUGUGGUACUAGCUGUGGGACAGCUGGUAGCAAUUUAGUGCAGCUACUGGCUUAUUCAUUUGUUCUUUUCUCUUUUAUUAAGAACAAAAGCAAACACCUUUAAUCAGUUGGAAACCAGAUGAAACCACCAUGAAAUGCUGAGGGAUGGGGUCUGUUUUGUUGAUAAGAACACUCUCUGCCUAUGGUGGGUGAAGCACUGGAUGGGAGAGGGAGUUGUGUGCUCCUGCUGCAUUACCCCAGGCCUCACAAUUGUGGAGAACAUUGCAAGGGACCCAAUAGUGUGACUAUGAGACAUGACAGAGAAUGUGAAACAUGAUGGUGUAUUCAAUUAGCUAUGGUUAUUAUGAAACAGAGUCCAAAGUUUUAUUUUCUCUGUAAUAAUGUGA